CCUCUCUCCUUUCAGCAUGCUAGAAAGCAAAGAGAAUGGAAAUCAGGUAGCCAGAAGGAAAGAAAGCACGAAGAUAAUGAAGCAGUAACACCUACUGAUACACUGCUCCUUCCAACACACUUUGGAAAUGUUAAUCCAAUUCAAUGAGCACAUCUUAAAGAUGAGGAAACGAAGGCCCAGAGAAGGUAAUAAAAUGGGAAACUGUUAAACACACAUCCAUCUUCUGAACAGUGUUAUCCUAAGUCCAGGAGGAACCUUUCAAAACAGGAGUUCAGUCAGUCAUAAACCUUGCUCCGUACAGACUCUCCUCAGCCCCAGAACCAGUGUUUCAGAGUGAAUCUUUCCCCAGGGCCAGAAGGAGAAGGGAAAUGACAACUCACCAGGAGAAACAGAGGGCUGACAGCUACCCAGCAGAUCCUCCAAAACCAUCCGGGGCUGAAGCCGAGCAUUUCCUUCACAUCACUGCAGAACUGAGUGAUGCCUAAAAUCACCCGAAAGAGAGCGAGACUGAUUGACUGAGAGAGGAAACAGAUUGCCAUGCUAUCCCUUGAUGCUCAGAGAGAGUAGCAGCUCUAGGAUUUCUCCACAGGAGGGGCCGAUCAGGGGCACCAAUCUGGUCUGAAAGUGGGAUGGGGGAACUUGCCACAAAGCUGCGUGUGACAGCAAGCAAAGCUUUUCCUGCACUGAAUGGGAGGAUGGGUGGACAUUUGGGGAAGGACCUAAAGCUCCCUCUUGGUGCCCACACUGCUGUUCUAUGAUGUUGGCAUAGAUAUGAUUUUACUGUUGCUGUAGAAAAAAGGAAGUUGCCUUUUGUCUAGAAACAGUGAACCCACUUGACCAGAGACUGACUGAUCACAUACUGGAAACGUAAAAGAGAAAAUUUUAAACACAAUAUUGCUUAUUCAUAUGUCAGAUCAAGAUCAAGGUUCUACUACACGGGGUAACUGGCAUGGACUCUGACUGGGGAGACAAUGAGAAGGGGAAGGAAGGGUGCUCUGUGGUUGCUUCCCUGAAAAUGCCCAGCAAUACCUUGGGCAGGUCUGUGGCAUCACACACUUUGAUCUUUGUCCUCUGAAGUGCGGAGGAGGUGGGAGGACUUCUUUCCAAAAAAAAAAAAAAAAA